rnacentral:rRNA from 1 species
AACGGCCGUACCAUGCUGAAUAUACCGGUUCUCGUUAGAUCACCGAAGUCAAGCAUCAUUGGGCGGUCAGUACUUGGGUGGGUGACCACCUGGGAACACCGCGUACCGUU